GGCGCUAUAGCCAAGUGGUUACGGCGACAGAUUAGAAUAAAACUCGUACUCAUCUGUUCCUCUUUGAGGGCGCAGGUUCAAAUCCUGCUGGCGUCG